AUCAAAUGUUACAAUCUCUUCUGUGUACAAUUCAACUUCCACCUCACAGAUUGAGUGUCAGACCAACAUUUGCUAAUCCAGGUACCCCCACCCCUCUUUUUUUUCUUUUCAAUAAAAGAACAAAUGUAACAACGCGAGUAGGGGCUUGUCCCAAUUCUUCUUGUUUUUGGAAGAAACACAAUCAAGUGUGUAAGUUUGCCAGAAUCAAAACAGGGAUACAUUAUUAUGUAACAUGACAGUAAUUUCAUGUGACAAGACAUUUAAUCCAUGGGGAUUACUGGUUUUACAGUUUGUCCAUUUUGACCAGAUCCUGAAAAAUUAUUCCAUUCAACCUUUAACAGAGAAUGAUAACUUCUCUAGAAUGCAAAUGUCCAGUACAAUUUUGAAGCAGUCAACUGUAGGUGCUUUAAGUUUGAACCAUUUCCUAGUGAUUGUCUUUUUGCUUGCUGCCAGUAGUAACACUUUUUAAUCUUUCAGAGAGCAGUUAUCAAAUGGAAUGUCUCUUAAGUACAGGGCUUCACAUUUACAGGGAAUUCUCUCAGUAAAGAUGUUGUAUAAGUGAUCUCAUAACUACUCCCACUAUAGUUUAAUCACUGGACAACCCCAGAAAAUAUGACAAUGACUGGCCUCAAUUGUUCCACAGAGUCUCCAACAGGUGUCUCCACUGCCCUGAUGUUUUUUCUGAGUUGGGGUUACAAAAUAUCGAACAGUGUUUUGUAACCCCAAAUAUUUGGCCAUACAGUAUAAUUUGUCGAGCCUUUCCCAGCCUUCAGAUGAGAUGAUUACAUUUUAUUCUUUCACCCAGCUGUUUCUUAUGUAGUCUGUAUCACCUUGUUUAGAUGCCAGAAUAUAGUAUAGAAACAAAUUUCAUGCAUGAACCUGAUUUCAACAAAGACAGAAAAACAUUAAAAAUAAAAAUCUUGGUAUGGCUGUUUCCUAUUUGUCUUGUGUAUUUUGAUUAAAAUAUGUCCUAACCUGCAAAUAUCUGAAGAAGUCAUCCUUUUCCAACACAUUAGACACAUUUCUCAAAACACUGAAAUGUCCCCUUUGGGAAAAAUAAAAAGUUAAUGUGACAAGACAUUUAAUCCAUGGGGAUUAAAUGUCUUUGGGAAUCCAUCCUUUAAAUAUCCCGUCAUUCUUAGUCUUAGUUUAAAUCAGGGGUCUCAAACUCGCGGCCCGCGGGCCAACUGCGGCCCUCGGGAUGAUAGUUUGUGGCCCCCGCCUUAAUAUGAAAG